AUUGAACGCUGGCGGCAGGCCUAACACAUGCAAGUCGAACGGUAGCACAGAGAGCUUGCUCUCGGGUGACGAGUGGCGGACGGGUGAGUAAUGUCUGGGAAACUGCCCGAUGGAGGGGGAUAACUACUGGAAACGGUAGCUAAUACCGCAUAGCGUCGCAAGACCAAAGUGGGGGACCUUCGGGCCUCACACCAUCGGAUGUGCCCAGAUGGGAUUAGCUAGUAGGUGGGGUAAUGGCUCACCUAGGCGACGAUCCCUAGCUGGUCUGAGAGGAUGACCAGCCACACUGGAACUGAGACACGGUCCAAACUCCUACGGGGGGCAGCAGUGGGGAAUAUUGCACAAUGGGCGCAAGCCUGAUGCAGCCAUGCCGCGUGUAUGAAGAAGGCCUUCGGGUUGUAAAGUACUUUCAGCGGGGAGGAAGGCGGUGAAGUUAAUAGCUUCACCGAUUGACGUUACCCGCAGAAGAAGCACCGGCUAACUCCGUGCCAGCCGCCGCAGUAA
rnacentral:rRNA from 1 species